GGUUGUCGUCAGCUCGUGUCGUGAGAUGUGGUUAGUCCGCAACGAGCGCAACCCCUACGUUAGUUGCUAACGCGUGAAGGCGAGCACUCUAGACGAACUGCCGUUGACAAAACGGAGGAAGGUGGGGAUGACGUCAAAUCAUCAUGCCCCUUAUGUUCUGGGCUACACACGUGCUACAAUGGCCGGUACAGACGGACGCAAAGCCGCGAGGCGGAGCAAAUCCGAAAAAGCCGGUCUCAGUUCGGAUUGCAGGCUGCAAUUCGCCUGCAUGAAGUCGGAAUCGCUAGUAAUCGCAGGUCAGCAUACUGCGGUGAAUACGUUCCCGGGUCUU
rnacentral:rRNA from 1 species